rnacentral:rRNA from 1 species
GACGAACGCUGGCGGCGUGCUUAACACAUGCAAGUCGAGCGGUAAGGCCCUUUCGGGGGUACACGAGCGGCGAACGGGUGAGUAACACGUGGGUGACCUGCCCUCAGCUCUGGGAUAAGCCUGGGAAACCGGGUCUAAUACUGGAUAUGACUCCAUGACGCAUGUUGUGGGGUGGAAAGCCUUGUGCGGCUGAGGAUGGGCCCGCGGCCUAUCAGCUUGUUGGUGGGGUGANGGCCUACCAAGGCGACGACGGGUAGCCGGCCUGAGAGGGCGACCGGCUACACUGGGACUGAGACACGGCCCAGACUCCUACGGGAGGGCAGCAGUGGGGAAUCUUGCGCAAUGGGCGAAAGCCUGACGCAGCGACGCCGCGUGAGGGAUGACGGCCUCGGUCGUAA